UGCCCCAAUAGUUAACAUUUGUUGAACACUUGCUGUACAUCAGGAGCUGCAGAACCAUUAUUUUUACAGAGAAGAGACUGAAGGUCACGAAGUCACUUUUCAUAUCACAGACUUCUCCAAAUGUCACCUCCAGGAUGCUCUAGAAGAAUGAAGGCUGUAUCUUCAGAUUACACUGAGAGAAAGACCGAAAAGUCCGGAUCUUGGAAUACUAAAGUUCAUGCUGGACUGUCUUGGACCAUUUCAGACAUGUAAUUGCCACACACUGAUUGGACUUAAAAGAUUUUUAAAGUUUUCUUAGCAAGACGUUUAUGAGCCAUCUCUCAGGAUGCUAGGAUGAUUAGCAUUGGAGAAAUAAAUGUUGAAAAGUUGAAUGCCGGGGCGCCUGGGUGGCUCAGUCGU